rnacentral:lncRNA from 1 species
ACUCCUUCCCUGCCUUUCCUACCUAUCACUCUCGUGCUGAAAGUUGGAGCUCCUUACCCAAAGACUGGGCGGAAAGGGUGACCGCCCUGGACCCCUGCCCGACUUCCCGUUAGGCCAAGCCGCUGUCCUGAAAGGGGAUCGUGUCCAGGCCGGCUUCCUGGAGACACACCUGCGCCUGCACACACCCACCGCGGUCGCGUCACCAGUGCCGCGGCCACGUGGACGAAGACCAAAGUCUGGAGGGAAUUCCCUCAGCCACAAAGCGAUGGGAAAGCGGGACCCGGUGGAGACCAGAGUCUUGCUAUGCUUUCCAGGCUGGUUUUGAACUCCUAGCCUCAAGCGAUUUUCCUGCCUCAGCUUCCCAAAGUGCUGGGAUUACAGGCACAAGCCACUGCACCCGGCCCUGUUGUUGUUAAGAAAAUUACAAGUUAAAUCUUGUACCAGUGAACAAGAUUAGGGAUCGUGAUGUGGAGCUGCACUUCCUGGUUCCAAAUCCUGGCUCUUCCCCUCAUCCCUGGGUAAGUUGAGGGAUGAGAGCAAGAGAAGGUUGAUCCUGACUCAGAUCUCUGCAUGGGGCAUGUCACUGAUGACGGCGGCAUUCCCUGAGAGAGGGAACACUAAGUUUGAAGUUGGGCAUAGUGAGCACUAUUUUGGAUGAGUUAAGUUUAGAAGUGCCUGAAGACAUCCAAGUGGAAGAAGUGGCUGCAUGGACUGAAGAUACAGACUGGGAAACGUUAACACCAUCAAGGAACUGGAGUCCUGGGCACAGGUGAGACUGCUCAGGGGAGUUGUAGAAGGAGAGGACACAAGGCCUCAGGCAGAGCUCUGGAGUGAAGGGGUUGUACAGUAGGAGAGAAGGCUGGAGAUUAAGGGGAACAAAGAGAUUGUUGGUGUAUCAAGGGCUGUGCUAUGUAGGGGACAAAGUCUGGGGAUGAAAUGUCAGUAACAUCAUCUUCCAUUAGCUGAUUAAAGAUGAGAGUAAAAAAGCUAGCUCCUGGGAUUGAAAGCCAAUUAAUUUUAUUCUUUUCUAGAGUUAAGACUAGCACCUCAGAUGAUUUGUAAUUUGUAAAUGAAUUUGCGUCCUAUUUGUAAGCAAAUGCUUCUGGUGAUAAGGACCUACAAAUGACAGAACACACUAGACCAGGGGUCCCCAACCCCCAGGCCACGAACAGUUAACAGUCCUGUGGCCGGUUAGGAACCCAGCCACAUAGCAGGAGGUGAGUGGCGGGCAAGCCAGCAUUACCCCCUGAACUCCACUUCCCGUCAGAUCAGUGGCAGCACUACAUUCUCACAGGAGCACAAACCCUAUCCUGAACAGCGGAUUUAAGGGAUCUAGGUCACACAUUCCUUAUGAGAAUCUAAUAUCUAAUUAUGUGAGGUAGAACAGUUUCAUCCUGAAAGCAUCUCCUCCCCUUCCAUGAAAAAAUGGUUUUCCAUGAAACCAGUUCCUAGUGCCAAAAAGGUUGGAGACCACUGCAGCAGACAAAUAUGAGUUCACCAACAUUCUUAGAAAAUCAGCAGCAUAAUGCUCUGAAGUGGAGGUGAAGGAACUGUAUUCUCUCAUUUGACUCAGGAGCCCCAGGCCCAAGUCUAAGUUUGAGAGGGAUUAUUCUUGUGUCACACAGAAAGGAAUAGUUUCUGUAUGCAAGGUAAGUUUCAUAAGACUGUGGAAUUACAUUCUGGAUUUCUCCUUAAUAAACUGUAACAUUGGCAAAUUUUAUAUGAAAAAUAAAAUGUUUCUACCCUGAUUGAAACCAUAGCAUGAAAAUAUUAACUAAUGCACGUUACUUUCUUCUGCAUAGCCUAGCAUUUGAAUGCCAAGUGCUUUCCAUAUUUGAGAUGCACAGUGCCAUCUAAUGGUCACAAACCAUAAGCCAAAAGAAGAAGAAAGGGAAUCAGAACUGAAAUAAUAAUAAAAUAGUAAAAUCUAAUACAUUACAAGCUUCAAAAUUGCAUAGUUAACUGCCCUUGCCUACAAAAAUUUUAUCUUUGCCUUAGUCAUUGUCAUGUGAGUUACAAUCAUGUGAGUUACAAAUGAUCAUAUUGCAUAGAUAACUACAGAUCACAUGUUAAAUUAAAAUAAUUCAUGACAAACCUGAAACCAUAACUUAUAUGCACUUUACAACUUUCUACUUUCACUCUUCAAUCACCUGAAACUAUAAUACAUAGGGUUCCUCAUGCGUAUACACUAUUCCCACAGAAACAAAAUCAUUAGAAAUACCUUGGAUGAAAUAAUAUGUUUAGGAUAGUUUUUUAAAGGGAGGGUAAGAUUAGGGGGAUAGAUAAAAGGAUAUUAUCUUGAUGUCUACAAGUUUAGCAGAUGGCCAGUCUUCUGCAUGGAAAAUGACUAUUCUAACCAUUCUCCCUGCAGCCCUUCAAGACAGAGGAGAUUAUGGGGCUACUGAACGUAUCUUGGACUUUAGAGAAAGAAAGUGAAGCUGAGCUGAGAUCCAUUGGUUCUAUUUUGGAAAGAUGCACCCCGUGGCAUGACCUUCACAGCUCAGUUCUGGGGUCAAAGGAAUUUUCCAUUGCUCACACUGCCACCCAACUCUGGGGGCAUAAGUGUGGAAGUGGUACAGCACACAUGGAGAAGGGAUGGGAGGAGCAGGGGUGUGUAUCAGCUUAGCCGAUCCCCCGAGGAGCUGCCAAGCUUGCUACCCCAAGAACAAUGCCUCAUAGCUCUGUGACCUCUUCAAGAUUAAGGCUCUUUGAUCUCAGCCCUUCUGAAGUGGUUUGAACCAUAUUCUAUACAAAAUUGGUAACUCCCCCAUAAGAAUUGCUUUUUAAAUAUCCUGCUCUAUUUGAAAAAGGAAUUUUAAAAAUAAAGUUUACCCUUUUACUCUCUCCCAGCAAGUGAGAUAUUCAAAACAACAAAAAUUCCUCUAACAUGUUAUGAUGUGGAAACUGGUAUUUUACUGAUUUGUCUUUUCCACUUGGCUUCAAGUUCUUUGGGGAAUGAAGAUCAUAUCAAUCCCUAGCCGACCGCUUCAGGCACAACUGCAAAUGUUUCUUGAAUGAACUUCCAGGCUUACCUGAAUUCUAAGGGGGAUUUCCACCAUAAUGGGAAAGCCACAAGAAAACCAGCAAAGGGUUUAAAAAAAAAAGGGUGAAAAUAUAAGUUAUUUAUCGGGGGUUAUCACUUUAUGCAGAGAGCAUUCGAAACAAUGAUUUCCACAAAUGGGCAGCAACAGUAACAGCCAUACUAAGCCAUUGCUUUCUUUACUUCCUCUUGGUCUAGAAUAUGCUGCAAAGGGAGAAGAAGGAAGACGUGUGGUAUGGAAUCACCUAUGGAUAAGGUUGAGAACCAUGGGCUAGAUGCUAUGGAGACCAACGUAUCACUUACUAGGCUUUACUUUGUGCCAGGCACUGGAUUCGGCAUUACCCCAUUUAAGCCUCACUACCAUCCUUCAUGUUACUAUUCCACGUUGCCGCUCAGGAGAAACAAAAUUUUUUUAUUAAAUUCAAGUAACCUGAGGUCCCAUAUUUAGUAAGAGGCAGAGGAGUUAGAUGUGUCAAUAGCUAAAUUACAUGGCUGUGUCCUCUAGCUGGCCAGGGACUGACAACAUCAGUAUCACCUGGUGACUCUCCCAGGGGAGAUGUUUUUAAAAAUCUUUUCCAGUAAUUCUGUGCAACAUGGCAAUCUGAAACCAGUCUUUCAGACCUGGAAGUUCUUUAGAGACCACAGGACUCUCUUUGAUAUUUUUUCUUUUGAAUUUUUUUAAAAUACAGAAUCCUUUUUCAUGUUCUCUGUUUAUAAAACAACUGCAUGUCAAUUACAUUAUUUUUUAGAAGAUAGGUACAAGAGCCAGGCGUGGUGGCUCAUGGCUGUAAUCACAACACUUUGGGAGGUCGAGGCAGGUGGAUCAUUUGAGGCUGGAAGUUCGAGACCAGCCUGGCCAACAUGGCAAAACCUGUCUCUACUAAAAAUAUAAAAAAUUAGCCUGGAGUAGUGGUGCAUGUCCCAGCUACUCGGGAGGCUGAGGCAUGAAAAUCGCUUGAACCCGGGAGGUGCAGGUUGCAGUGAGCCAAGAUCGCACCACUGCACUCCAGCCUGGGCAACAGAGCAAGACUGUGUCUUGACAGCAACAAAAAAAGAAGAUAGGUAUAGGAAUUAAAAAGAAAGCAAAUAAUUACUGGUAGCCUGACCACUAAGAGAUAUAUACUGAUAUUUUUUUUGCGGGGGGUGCAUCUCCUUGCAGGCCUUUUUGUAUGUUUAUGUUCAAACACAUUUGUAACAACAAUGAAUAAAAAACGCAUAAUAUUCAAUGACUU